rnacentral:rRNA from 1 species
UACGAAGGGGGCUAGCGUUGUUCGGAAUCACUGGGCGUAAAGCGCACGUAGGCGGACUGUUAAGUCAGGGGUGAAAUCCCGGAGCUCAACUUCGGAACUGCCUUUGAUACUGAUGGUCUUGAGACCGGAAGAGGUGAGUGGAAUUCCUAGUGUAGAGGUGAAAUUCGUAGAUAUUAGGAAGAACACCAGUGGCGAAGGCGGCUCACUGGUCCGGUUCUGACGCUGAGGUGCGAAAGCGUGGGGAGCAAACAGG